UUUAUUUCGCAGUGGCAGUAUCGUAGCCAAUGAGGUUAAUCUGAGGCGCGAUUAUUGCUAAUUGAAACUACUACAUGAAUGUAUAUGCUGCUUUCUAGAGAAAUCUCAAAGCAAUUAACAGGAAUAAUAAAAACAUA